CGAACGGGUGAGUAACACGUGAGAAACCUGCCCCGGAGAUCGGGAUAGCCCAGGGAAACCUGGAUUAAUACCGAAUACCCUCGAAUGGUCGCAUGUCCGAUCGAGGAAAUGGUCCGCUGCUCCGGGAUGGUCUCGCGUCCUAUCAGCUAGUUGGUGAGGUAACGGCUCACCAAGGCAACGACGGGUAGCUGGUCUGAGAGGACGAUCAGCCACACUGGGACUGAGACACGGCCCAG
rnacentral:rRNA from 1 species